AUGGCUUCUUCGGUAAAAUAUAGUUGGCGUCUCAAAAAGUAUGCAAAAUUUCUUUACGAAGAUGAUUUGAAUGAAUACGAUGAAGAAGCUGAAACAAUGGACGUCCCUUGCAAAGGCACUUGGAGACUGUAUUCUGGAAAUGGCAUGGACCUCAUUUUAUCCUAUUUAGAGUCAGACCAUUUUCUGUUGUCAAGAGGUGAUAUUAUAUUGGAGAGCUUUUCUCUGAUCAACAGCAAGUCAUGGAUGAAAGGUGUAGCAAAAGAAGACAGCUUACUUCUUACAUGUCAGCUUAAGGUAAUGUAAGA